GAAGGAUGAGAAGCUUCGACUAAGGUUCGAUUCGAGCGUUAGCGAGAAAGCGUUGCCGCAGGCAACGACCCGAAGGGCGAGGCGCACCGCGCUGAGUAAUCCUUCCCCCACCACCA
rnacentral:sRNA from 1 species